AUUGAACGCUGGCGGCAGGCCUAACACAUGCAAGUCGAGCGGCAGCGGGAAAGUAGCUUGCUACUUUUGCCGGCGAGCGGCGGACGGGUGAGUAAUGCCUGGGAAAUUGCCCAGUCGAGGGGGAUAACAGUUGGAAACGACUGCUAAUACCGCAUACGCCCUACGGGGGAAAGCAGGGGACCUUCGGGCCUUGCGCGAUUGGAUAUGCCCAGGUGGGAUUAGCUAGUUGGUGAGGUAAUGGCUCACCAAGGCGACGAUCCCUAGCUGGUCUGAGAGGAUGAUCAGCCACACUGGAACUGAGACACGGUCCAGACUCCUACGGGAGGCAGCAGUGGGGAAUAUUGCACAAUGGGGGAAACCCUGAUGCAGCCAUGCCGCGUGUGUGAAGAAGGCCUUCGGGUUGUAAAGCACUUUCAGCGAGGAGGAAAGGUUGAUGCCUAAUACGUAUCAACUGUGACGUUACUCGCAGAAGAAGCACCGGCUAACUCCGUGCCAGCAGCCGCCGUAAAAC
rnacentral:rRNA from 1 species